UCCAUGCUGUGAAGAGAAAAACUCCUGCCUGUCCAAGCUGUCUGAGGCCUUCUGCACAAUGUUCUUGAAGAGGCCUUAGCCAAGUAUUGUAAUGAGUGGUGUUGACUUUACCUGACAGUUCCUUGAGACAAAACUCCCAUGACUGAGAUUUCUGACCAUAGUCAUGGCCAAGAAUAUGUCUAGACAAAUCUUCCCAAAACAGGAUUCACUGCUAACACUGAAAGCCCCGAAUGCCCAUCUUUUCAGUUAUUGAUUGUCUGCCAUUCUGUAGAAUAACUAUACCACCUUGCAUAUCUCCCGAGACCUAUUUCUUGAUUGCUAUCAUGUCUAUCAGGUGGUUUUCCAACUAGCAUCUUUAACCAAUAAGAAUAUGGAUAUUCCUGGGAAUCUAAAGGAAUGUUUCAUAAUAACAAGCAGAUGCCAAAGAUCCCAGAACCUUUCUUGCCAAAGAUGAACUCAUCUUCUUAAGUCUUACAGGAGGCCAUCAGCUCAUUGUGCUGUCCAAAGCCAUGGCAUCCUACCAAAAAAAAAAAAAAAAAAAAAAAAAUCAUAGUAUGAUCUGAAUGUCAUAGAGCAUUCAAAUCUGUGUCAAAGUCUAUUUCUCUCUCUCUAAUUUCUGCUGAAGCUCCUUGUUUGUCACAUUUUACAGGAAAGUAGUUUAAUACCUGAACUGUUUCUGGCCAAGGGGAUUAAUGUGUGUACCGUGGAGUCUUACCAGAUAGAAAAUGCUGUACUUGAUAGAAUCAACACACAUUUCCACAGACAGUAGACAGAGCUAUUGCUUAAAUGAUACAGAUCUACAAGGCAGCAACACAGUUCUCCAUCUACAUAUUUAUUUGGUAUUACAGGUUCAUUUUUACCCAUUACAGGAUCAUCUUUAAGAAGAAUACUCUACGCUACAGUGAUCCUGUAGUAGAUUUCUGUUGUAGUAAGGAUUUUGGAAAGAUAGAAGAUGAUGUGGGGAUAGCUGUUUGUAAGUGGAUUCAGGAAGCCAGGAAAGAUGCCAAGAAAAGAUGAGAAAAUGAAAUGGAAAAAAAGAAUCAAGAUGGGAAUAUGGAUGCAGAGGAAAAAUAGCAGAUCCUUCUUCUGGGGGUCAGUUGG
ensembl:lncRNA